CUUCCAAAGUUUGCAGGUUUUGUAUACUUUUGUAUUGCAAUUUUCGCAUGCAAUACAAAAGUAUACAAAAUUUGCAAGGUUAUAUUUUUCCU